rnacentral:lncRNA from 1 species
CUCCCGGGGUGUUUAGGUGUGAGAUUGAGAGAAAAAAGAUAGAAAAAAUUUGAGAAAAAGAUAAGAAAAAAAGGGAGAGAAAAAGUAGAAAGAAGAGACAAGAGAGAAAAGGAAAGGUAAAGGUUGCUAUUCCUAGGGUUCAGUUUCUCCAAUAGUUGGAUUUCUAAAUCAAUUUUGGAUGGUGAGAUCUUUUGAGAAAAGAUUUCUAGCAUGGCCUUAGUGGAGGUUCGAAAGCAAUCAGGUCGUGGUAUAAUCGGUUC